rnacentral:rRNA from 1 species
UUAAAUUGAAGAGUUUGAUCAUGGCUCAGAUUGAACGCUGGCGGCAGGCCUAACACAUGCAAGUCGAACGGUAACAGGAAGCAGCUUGCUGCUUUGCUGACGAGUGGCGGACGGGUGAGUAAUGUCUGGGAAACUGCCUGAUGGAGGGGGAUAACUACUGGAAACGGUGGCUAAUACCGCAUAACGUCGCAAGACCAAAGAGGGGGACCUUCGGGCCUCUUGCCAUCAGAUGUGCCCAGAUGGGAUUAGCUUGUUGGUGAGGUAACGGCUCACCAAGGCGACGAUCCCUAGCUGGUCUGAGAGGAUGA